CAAUCCCUGAGUAGAGUGGCAAACGGGUGAGUAACACGUGGGUGACCUGCCUUCGAGCGGGGGAUAACGUCCCGAAAGGGACGCUAAUACCGCAUAACAUCCUGGUCUUGGACGACCGGUGAUCAAAGCUGGGGAUUCGCAAGAACCUGGCACUUGAAGAGGGGCCCGCGCCUGAUUAGCUAGUUGGUGAGGUAACGGCUCACCAAGGCAACGAUCAGUAUCCGGCCUGAGAGGGCGGACGGACACACUGGGACUGAGACACGGCCCAGACUCCUACGGGAGGCAGCAGUGGGGAAUUGUUCGCAAUGGGCGCAAGCCUGACGACGCAACGCCGCGUGGAGGAUGAAGGUCUUCGGAUUGUAAACUCCUGUUGCUCGGGACGAAAAGCUUCGACCUAACACGUCGAAGUCUGACGGUACCGAGUGAGGAAGCCCCGGCUAACUCUGUGCCAGCAGCCGCGGUAAUACAGAGGGGGCAAGCAUUGUUCGGAAUUACUGGGCGUAAAGGGCGCGUAGGCGGCCUGCUAAGUCGAACGUGAAAUCCCUGGGCUCAACCCAGGAACUGCGUCCGAUACUGGUUGGCUUGAAUCCGGGAGAGGGAUGUGGAAUUCCAGGUGUAGCGGUGAAAUGCGUAGAUAUCUGGAGGAACACCGGUGGCGAAGGCGACAUCCUGGACCGGUAUUGACGCUGAGGCGCGAAAGCCAGGGGAGCAAACGGGAUU
rnacentral:rRNA from 1 species